UACGGAGGGGGCUAGCGUUGUUCGGAAUUACUGGGCGUAAAGCGCACGUAGGCGGCUUUGUAAGUUAGAGGUGAAAGCCCGGAGCUCAACUCCGGAAUUGCCUUUAAGACUGCAUCGCUCGAAUCAUGGAGAGGUGAGUGGAAUUCCGAGUGUAGAGGUGAAAUUCGUAGAUAUUCGGAAGAACACCAGUGGCGAAGGCGACUUUCUGGCUGCUAACUGACGCUGAGACGCGAAAGCUAGGGGAGCGAACGGG
rnacentral:rRNA from 1 species